AGCCUGUCCUAUAGUUUAUGACUUUCUGACUAUCAGCACUUCCACACAUAACGGGUUAAAGCAACAAAACCGCCAAGAUGCAGUUUCACAGUGUGGUGUUUUCAGAGUGUCUUCCAGCUGCCAGCGCUCAGCUUUCAAUUGCUUUUUUGGCACUUAACAACCAGCUCACACAGUCAGUCAGUUGGGGCUGUAUUUGUGUGUCUGUCUUAGCUUCACUGUGGCACUUUCUGCAGGACUGGAGCACAUACUGUUUCGUUCUUGCAGUCAAGUUCUUGUGCUGGCUGGGCUCAGCAGCAAUCUCCAGCAUAUCACACCUGCUGAAUGGGAAGGGGGACUUCCUCUCCCUGUGGAGCUCUCACUGCUUGCCGACCAGAUCGCCAAAACUCACACGAUGGAGGAGAAACCACACUGUGGCUCACGCAGUCCCAUUUCCUGGUGGUCUGGCUGCAAAGGGCUCCACGCGCCUGGGCUCCCCGCUUUUCCUCAGGGGAACAGCUCCAGGGCCGAAUGCCUCCAUCCAGGACUCCCAUCCCUUCAGAGGCUGGUGUCGGCAGUGUCCGCUUUGGCCUGCAAGGUGGCCUCAGAGAUGGUGUCUGGUUGCCCAUCCCGACAGAAGAGUACAGCAGGGUUCUUGCAGGCCCACAUGGCCACCUCUCCCCCACUCGCUGGGCUGGAGGAGGACGGGGCGCUGCCCGGGGGGCCACUGUGCCGAUUGACGUAGCGCUCCCGGACACGGUCAGCCCGGCUCCAGGGCUCCGGCUGGCGGCCCGGGACCGAGAGGUAGGCCGCCACAUUGUUUCUAGUCCGGUAGCCGCCCUCACGGCUUCGCCGCAGCAGCACGGAGAUGUUGGGGUUGCGGGCAGCGUAGAUCAGAGGGUUGAUGGCGCCGUUGGCCCAGGCCAUCCCGCUGGCCACGGCAUCCAUGGUGGGCGAGAAGGGCAGGCGGCCGGCGGCAGCAGCCAGCCCCAGGAUGCAGUAGGGCCCCCAGCAGCAGAUGAUGGAGACAAUCAUGAUGAGGACAGUGGUGGCCGUGCGCAUCUCCCCGUAGGCCCGCAGCAGGUGCCCGUAGGUGGUGAGGGGCCGCACGCGGCUCUCGGCCAGCCGCACGGCCCGGCAGAUGUUGUAGUGGCAGAAGCACAUGAGGGCGAAGGGCAGGAGGUAGCAGAGCACGAUGAGGGCCGCGCCGUAGGGCGGCCCCAGCCGGGACGAGCCCCAGGGCAGCACGUAGACACAGCGGUAGGCCCCGGGCCGGGCCUCCCGCUGCCCCUCGCCCGCCAGCCCGUACCAGGGUCCGGCCAGGGCCAGGGCGGCCAGCCAGNNNNNNNNNNNNNNNNNNNNNNNNNNNNNNNNNNNNNNNNNNNNNNNNNNGAGUGCGCCCCCCUUCACCCC
rnacentral:lncRNA from 1 species